rnacentral:rRNA from 1 species
CGGCAACAGCUCAAAUUUGAAAUCUGGCCCCCUCGGGGCCCGAGUUGUAAUUUGCAGAGGAUGCGUCGGCGUCGGCCCCGGGCCAAGUCCCCUGGAACGGGGCGUCGUAGAGGGUGAGAGCCCCGUACUCUCCCGGGUCGCCUUCGCCGCGUGACGCUCCUUCGAC